rnacentral:pre_miRNA from 1 species
UGUAAAAAAAUUCAUCCAUUUGUAUUGUUAAAAACUGGUGUGGUUGACAGAAUAGCCAAAUUGUGACAUGUGGCAUGCCAUGUGUAUCUCAUGUUGAUGUGUAAUAACUAGUUUUUAACGAUAGAAAUGUAACA